ACCAGUGCAGUCACCUCAUGGCCUUGCUCUAAUGCUUGCUUGACCAAAAACUGGCCGGUUUGGCCUGAGGCACCAAGAACUGACAGCUUCAUAAUGCAGCUGCUAACGAAAAGAAAGGAUGAUUAUUAAAAAAUUUAAGUAGGCUUUGAGGCAUUCUGGUUUGACUGAGGAGAUACAAAUGUACAACCAGGCCACACUGUGAAACAAAAUGGAGGUCCAAGUUUAUUAUACAGUACAGUAUUGGAAGAAAGCUAAAGAAGAGGAACUUUCAGCGAACUGGACUAACUUUAAUGGAUUGCUCAUGCUUUGAAGAACUAUAUCCUGAGCAGAAUGUGGCUUGUUUGUUUGUAUAUAUUAUGUUCAUAUUAUGUGUAUUAUCAAGGGAUUUUUAAAUGGUUUCUUUCUUUCUUUAAUGUCCUUUUUCUUAUCUUUAAUUAGAUUACCUUAUCAUUAAUGCUGUAAAUUUUUGAUUGUUAAAAUAAAAGAAAACACACACAA